AAACCAACAGGGAUUACCUUAGUAACGGCGAGUGAAGCGGUAAAUGCUCAAAUUUGAAAGCUGCCAACAGGCCGCGUUGUAAUUUGUAGAAGAUGCUUUGGGUGUCGGCCCAGUCUAAGUUCCUUGGAACAGGACGUCAUAGAGGGUGAGAAUCCCGUAUGUGAUUGGUGCCGUCCCCCGUGUAAAGCUCUUUCGACGAGUCGAGUUGUUUGGGAAUGCAGCUCAAAAUGGGUGGUAAAUUUCAUCUAAAGCUAAAUAUUGGCCAGAGACCGAUAGCGCACAAGUAGAGUGAUCGAAAGAUGAAAAGCACUUUGGAAAGAGAGUUAAACAGUACGUGAAAUUGUUGAAAGGGAAGCGCUUGCAAUCAGACUUGCAGGCGGUCGAUCAUCCGAGGUUCUCCCCGGUGCACUCGAUCGUCUUCAGGCCAGCAUCGGUUUCUGUGGUGGGAUAAAGGCUGUGAGAACGUAGCUCUUCGGAGUGUUAUAGCUCACGGUGCAAUGCCGCCUACGGGGACCGAGGACCGCGCUUCGGCUAGNAUGCUGGCGUAAUGGUUGUAAGCGAC
rnacentral:rRNA from 1 species